AGACCAUGAUGCGAGCACUUCCUUAACAAAUCCUUGAACUUCUCCCAUGUCUCGUACAAAGAUUCCUCGUCAUCGUCAUCUUGAGAGUAUGAAUUUAUCUCGGUCAUGAGUUU
rnacentral:snoRNA from 1 species